AGGACGAACGCUGGCGGCGUGCUUAACACAUGCAAGUCGAGCGGUAAGGCCCUUUCGGGGUACACGAGCGGCGAACGGGUGAGUAACACGUGAGCAAUCUGCCCUUCACUUCGGAUAAGCCUCGGAAACGGGUCUAAUACCGGAUAUGACUGCGCCAUGCAUGUGGUGUGGUGGAAGUUCUGGCGGUGAGGGAUGAGCUCGCGCCUAUCGAGUCGUUGGUUGGGUGGGGUAAUCGGUACCUACCGAAGGUCUUCGGACGGGUACGCCGGCGUGGAGGACGGGUCGACCGGCCACGACCGUGGACUAGACGACCGACGGCCCAGACCUCCGUACGGAGCGAGCAGGU
rnacentral:rRNA from 1 species